AUGAAGAAUACUACAUCAAAGAUAAGAAACAAAACUCUUUCGAUUUUUUUCAACGCCUCUAAUUUGAUCUGUAAAAAUGCUAUUGUUUAAUUUUUAUUGGUCAGAGUUAAAUUUCUUUCAAUAAGACGAUCAUUAGACACAACAACUGGACUGACGAAUGAACUAUAAGAAAUGGAAAUAUUGGAUUUCUUUUGCUUUGCAAGUAGAUUCCGAAUGAAAGAUAAGAAACCGAAUCAAUGUUUACUUUAAGAAAGGUUGUAUUUUUCAUUUGAAUAAAGUGUAAUGUCAAAUUUGUUUUUUUUUUGCUCAGGGUAAUUUGGGUUUUAAGUAGGAUUAUUAUACUUUCAAAAUCGAAGUGGAGUUAAGAAGAAAUCUAUUCUAUAUCCUGGACGUACAGAGGAAGUUUAUUCAAAACUUAGUACAAAUUCUAGAACUGGAGAUUUGUGCAAUCACUUAACUCGAACUGGAACGAGCUUGAGAGGUACUUUCUUGACGACUGUAAGGGUACCAGCUUCUUCUUUAUCGAUGUCUUUAUGUGUCAUACCAUCAGGUGCUCUCCAAUCGAAGUAGUAAAGUAAGUUCAAUAGUCCCAAUUCCACAGUAGCUACCCCCAUUGCUAUACCGGGACAUAUCCUUCGACCAGACCCAAACGUAUUUCGGAUCUCUCCCUAUCGCCCAAGCGUUCACCAAGAUCUGUCUCUUUGGAGGAAUAUCAUAGCCUUGGACCUUGAUGUGAGCCAUUGUU